CGGUGCGAUCAUAUCAGCACUAAUGCACCGGAUCCCAUCGGAACUCUGCAGUUAAGCGUGCUUGGGCGAGAGUAGUACUAGAAUGGGUGACCUCCUGGGAAGUCCUCGUGUUGCACCUC
rfam:Vigna angularis cultivar Jingnong 6 C3019009_1, whole genome shotgun sequence.